AUUGAACGCUGGCGGCAGGCCUAACACAUGCAAGUCGAGCGGAUGAAGGGAGCUUGCUCCUGGAUUCAGCGGCGGACGGGUGAGUAAUGCCUAGGAAUCUGCCUGGUAGUGGGGGAUAACGUCCGGAAACGGGCGCUAAUACCGCAUACGUCCUGAGGGAGAAAGUGGGGGAUCUUCGGACCUCACGCUAUCAGAUGAGCCUAGGUCGGAUUAGCUAGUUGGUGGGGUAAAGGCCUACCAAGGCGACGAUCCGUAACUGGUCUGAGAGGAUGAUCAGUCACACUGGAACUGAGACACGGUCCAGACUCCUACGGGAGGCAGCAGCGAGGAAUAUUGGACAAUGGGCGAAAGCCUGAUCCAGCCAUGCCGCGUGUGUGAAGAAGGUCUUCGGAUUGUAAAGCACUUUAAGUUGGGAGGAAGGGCAGUAAGUUAAUACCUUGCUGUUUUGACGUUACCAACAGAAUAAGCACCGGCUAACUUCGUG
rnacentral:rRNA from 1 species